AACGUAGGAGACAAACGUUAUCCGGAGUUACUGGGCGUAAAGGGCGUGCAGGCGGUUGCUUAAGUUCGGCGUGAAAGCUCCUGGCUAAACCGGGAGAGGUCGUCGGAAACUGGGUGACUAGAGGGUGAUAGAGGCGGGUGGAAUUCCGGGUGUAGUGGUGAAAUGCGUAGAGAUCCGGAGGAACACCAGUGGCGAAGGCGACCCGCUGGGUCACACCUGACGCUGAGACGCGACAGCAUGGGGAGCGAACGGG
rnacentral:rRNA from 1 species